CCGCGCGGCGCUGCCGCAAGCCAACUACCACCACGGGGCACGGCGCAGGCGCAGCCACAAGCCAACUACCACCACCGCGGGCGGGCCACGGCCAGCUCGCUCCAUAAAGCGCGCGUGCGGGCGGCCGGCAUCGGCAGCGUCAGCCAAGGGCAGCCAGCCAUGAACGCGGCGGCCUCCUUCGUCGCCGUGGCGCUGGCCCUGGCGGCCCUCGUCCCCGUCUCGCUGCUGCUCCUGAACCGGCUCCUCUACGGCAAGCUGCCGCCGGGCCCCCGCCCCCGCCCCGUGGUGGGCAACCUCUUCGACGUGCAGCCGGUGCGCUGCCGCUGCUACCAGGAGUGGGCGCGGCGGUACGGGCCCAUCAUGACGGUGUGGCUGGGGCCGGAGCCGACGGUGGUGGUGUCGACGGCGGAGCUCGCCAGGGAGGUGCUCAAGACCUACGACCAGAGCCUCGCCGACCGCAAGCGCGACCGCUCCUCGGAGCGCUUCAGCCGCGGCGGCAAGGACCUGAUCUGGGCCGACUACGGCCCGCACUACAUCAAGGUGCGCAAGCUCUGCAACCUCGAGCUCUUCACGCCGCGCCGCCUCGAGGCGCUCAGGCCCAUCCGCGAGGACGAGGUCACCGCCAUGGUCGAGUCCGUGCACAGGGCCGUCACCGCGCCGGGCAAUGAAGGGAAGCCGUUGGUGGUGAAGAACCACCUCUCGAUGGUGGCCUUCAACAACAUCACGCGGCUGGCCUUCGGGAAGCGGUUCGGGAACGCGGCCGGCGAGCUGGACGAGCAAGGGCACGAGUUCAAGGGCAUCAUCAACGACGGGAUCAAGAUCGGAGGGUCCCUCUCCAUCGCCAAGUACAUCCCGUGGCUGAGUUGGCUGGCCCCGGCCGACGACCAGGUCUUCAAAGCCCACGGCGACCGGCGCGACCGCCUCACCGUGAGGAUCAUGGACGAGCAGGCCAGGGCCCUCAAGCAGCGCGGCGGCGCCCAGCAGCACUUCAUCGACGCGCUCUUCACCCUCAGGGAGCAGUACGACCUCAGCGACGACACCGUCAUCGGCCUCCUCUGGGACAUGAUCGCCGCCGGCACGGACACGACGGUGAUCUCGGUGGAGUGGGCGAUGGCGGAGCUGGUGCGGAACCCCCGGGUGCAGGAGAAGGUGCAGGAGGAGCUGGACCGCGUCGUCGGCCGCGACCGGGUCCUGCUGGAGACGGACUUCCCCAACCUGCCCUACCUGUAGGCGCUCGUCAAGGAGUCGCUCCGGCUGCACCCGCCGACGCCGCUCAUGCUCCCGCACAAGGCCAGCGCCGGCGUCAAGAUCGCCGGCUACGAUGUGCCCAAGGGCGCCAACAUCAUCGUCAACGUGUGGGCGCUGGCGCGCGACCCCGAGGUCUGGGAGGACCCGCUCGCGUUCCGGCCGGAGCGCUUCCUCCGGGAGAACAUCGACAUCAAGGGCGCCGACUUCCGCGUGCUCCCGUUCGGCGCCGGCCGGCGGGUGUGCCCCGGCGCGCAGCUCGGGAUCAACCUGGUGGCGUCCAUGCUCGGGCACAUGCUGCACCACUUCAGCUGGUCGCUGCCGGAGGGGACCCGGCCCGAGGACGUGGAGAUGAUGGAGACGCCCGGCCUCGUCACCUUCAUGGCCACGCCGCUCAAGGCCGUCGCCACGCCGCGCCUCGACAAGGAGGAGCUCUACAGGCGUGUGCCGUCCGAGAUGUGAGCGCCUGCAUAUGCUGGCGCGCCGUCUGCAUUUUCCCGGUGUGUACUGCUCUUGUGGACGGGAUCGAUCGGAAGGUGAUGAUGCCGUCGUUGCAAAUUUGUGCGACCCGUUCGUUAUUAUUAUCUCUUUUCUGGCGUUCUUCUAGUUAUAUGCAUGAACGAGCAUUUGUGUGUACUUCUUCAGACCUUGCACGCCUCGCCGAUAUUAUUAUCUGUUUGUCAGGCAGGCAGGAAUUCAUAAUUAAUUUGGGCACCAAGAAAUCCGCUUA